rfam:Otolemur garnettii contig128543, whole genome shotgun sequence.
GCACCUGUAGCUCAGUGGCUAGGGCGCCAGCCACAUAAACUGGAGCUGGCAGGUUCGAAUCCAGCCUGGGCCU